rnacentral:rRNA from 1 species
UGAAUACGAGACGCUAAGGCGUCGAAGUAGUGUAUGUCAUACUUCCAAGAAAAGCUUGCACUGUCAUAGAUAAAAAACGCCUGUACCAUAACCGACACAGGUGGGUAGGUAGAGUAUACUAAGGGGCGCGAGAUAACUCUCUCUAAGGAACUCGGCAAAAUAACUCCGUAACUUCGGGAGAAGGAGUGCCUUAUUCGUAAGGUUGCAAUAACAAGAUCCAAGCAACUGUUUAUCAAAAACACAGGUCUCCGCUAAGUCGUAAGACGAUGUAUGGGGGCUGACGCCUGCCCAGUGCCAGAAGGUUAAAGAAGUUGGUUAGCAAUUGCGAAGCUGAUAACUGAAGCCCUGGUGAACGGCGGCCGUAACAAUAACGGUCCUAAGGUAGCGAAAUUCCUUGUCGGGUAAGUUCCGACCCGCACGAAAGGCGUAAUGAUUUGGAUACUGUCUCGGAGAGGGGCUCGGUGAAAUAGACUUGUCUGUGAAGAUGCGGACUACCUGCACCAGGACAGAAAGACCCUAUGAAGCUUUACUGUAACUUGAAAUUGAAAUUGGACUUUAUUCGCGCAGCAUAGGUGGGAGGCGUUGAUUAUAAUCUUGCGGGAUUAUUGGAGCCAUCAGUGAGAUACCACUCUUGUAAUGUUAGAUUUCUAACUUUGAAUCAUUAUCUGGUCAAAGAACAGUUUCAGGCGGGCAGUUUGACUGGGCGGUCGCCUCCUAAACGGUAACGGAGGCGUACAAAGGUUCCCUCUGAACGGUUAGAAAUCGUAUCUAGAGUGUAAAGGCAUAAGGAAGCUUGACUGUGAGACCUACAAGUCGAGCAGGGACGAAAGUCGGUCUUAGUGAUCUGACGGUACUGAGUGGAAAGGCCGUCACUCAACGGAUAAAAGUUACUCUAGGAUAACAGGCUGAUCUCCCCCAAGAGUUCACAUCGACGGGGAGGUUUGGCACCUCGAUGUCGGCUCAUCGCAUCCUGGGGCGGUAGUACGUCCCAAGGGUUGGGCUGUUCGCCCAUGAAAGCGGUACGCGAGCUGGGUUCAGAACGUCGUGAGACAGUUCGGUCCAUAUCCGGUGUAGGCGUUAGAAUAUUGAGAGGAGCCCUCUUUAGUACGAGAGGACCGAGAAGGACAUACCUCUGGUGUACCAGUUAUCGUGCCAACGGUAAACGCUGGGUAGCUAUGUAUGGAGUGGAUAACCGCUGAAAGCAUCUAAGUGGGAAGCCCACCUCAAGAUAAG